rnacentral:rRNA from 1 species
UACGUAGGGCGCAAGCGUUGUCCGGAAUUAUUGGGCGUAAAGAGCUCGUAGGCGGUUUGUCGCGUCUGCUGUGAAAACCUAAGGCUCAACCUUGGGCUUGCAGUGGGUACGGGCAGACUAGAGUGCGGUAGGGGAGACUGGAAUUCCUGGUGUAGCGGUGAAAUGCGCAGAUAUCAGGAGGAACACCGAUAGCGAAGGCAGGCUUCUGGGUACCACCUGACACUGCUAGGACGAAAGCGUGGGGAGCGAAUGGG